rnacentral:lncRNA from 1 species
GCUAAUUAAAACUUUAGUAGGUAAAAUUAAAAUUCUCAAAAAUUAAUUUUUGAAUAGGCUAAUACAUUCACAUGGUAUAAAAGGAUAUGCAGUAAAAUGUAAGUCUGCUUCUCUCUUUUAAGCCCCAUCCAAGUUUCUCUCUGCAGAGGCAACCAAUGUUUAGUGUCUUACACAGCCUUCCAGACAAUUUAUGCAUAAAGAAUCAAUGACAUGUGUUUCCUGAUUUUAUAAAAGUGAGAUAUACCAUGCAUAAUGACAUGUACCUUGC